GCUGCUCCGAGAAGAGAAUAACAACAUGGGACAUGGGAAGUGAUUCGCUUGUGUGCCCUGCAUGCCAUGGAGAAGAAGAUGUGAGCUGAGACGUCUGCCCUCACCAAAGAGAGUGUAUAAAAAUGCAUGAGGCUGAAAGUCAGCUGAGCUGAAAGGAGCUGCUUUCUGAAACAACUUUGCUGGGAAAAUGGCAGCAGUUGCUCCUGGAUGGCAGAGAGAGGACAAAGCACAACCUGCCUGAGCCACUGGUCCCAGUCAUCCCUGCUGUUGCAAGACCUUCACAUUCCUUUAGGAGCUUUCUUCAAGUCUCUGUGUUCGGCUGGUCUCUCUUGCAAACAAGUAUGAAUCAGAAAGUGCUUUUGGAGAUGAUAUUGGAUAAACCUUUCCCCAGGAAUUAACAGGCUGAAUGGCUCA